rnacentral:lncRNA from 1 species
CGAUUGUUAGGGUUUUUAAGAUAUCUCAAGAUCCGCAAUGAAUUUGUGGUUGAAAAUUAUUGUGAACGUUAAUAAGAAUAUAUCAGUACCUCAUGUAAAUUUUGAGUUUGUUUGGACGGUCGGAUUAGGAGAUAUGAGGUGUUGAAGUUCGGAAAAAUCUCCAUACAAGAAUAUACAAGAUUUUAGAGGAUUUUAUCAUAUUUUGGGUGUUGUUGGUUACUUGAGGCUUGUGUAUUUGGUGUAAUUGCUCAAAAAGAGAAAAUUUAUAUAUAA